rnacentral:misc_RNA from 1 species
AAGUCGUAACAAGGUUUCCGUAGGUGAACCUGCGGAAGGAUCAUUAAUAACAACACAUCUUUGGAAUCUCUUGCCAGAUUCUUUUCACCCCUUUAUACAAAGCGAACAUUUUUCUUUUUGUUUUCGUUUAUAUUAUUAUGCGAAAACAAUUUUUUUUUCUUUUUCUCUAUUUUUAAAAAAAAAAUAAAAAAACCCAAUUGAAAAACACAUUCUUUGACUGAAAUUUUUAUAUUUAUAUACAAAAAUUAAAAAAACAACUCUUAGCAACGGAUAUCUUGGCUCUC